rnacentral:rRNA from 1 species
UACGUAGGGAGCAAGCGUUGUCCGGAAUCAUUGGGCGUAAAGCGCGCGUAGGCGGCCCUGUAAGUCCGCUGUGAAAGUCAAAGGCUCAACCUUUGAAAGCCGGUGGAUACUGCAGGGCUAGAGUCCGGAAGAGGCGAGUGGAAUUCCUGGUGUAGCGGUGGAAUGCGCAGAUAUCAGGAGGAACACCAAUAGCGAAGGCAGCUCGCUGGGACGGUACUGACGCUAAGGCGCGAAAGCGUGGGAGCGAACAGG